GGCACUAUGGCCGAGUGGUUAAGGCGAAAGAUUAGAAAUCUUUUGGGAUUUCCCGCGCAGGUUCGAGUCCUGCUGGUGUCG
rfam:Ascoidea rubescens DSM 1968 unplaced genomic scaffold ASCRTscaffold_2, whole genome shotgun sequence.